CAGCCGCCACGGGAAUACGAAGGGUGCAAGCGUUAAUCGGAAUUACUGGGCGUAAAGCGUGCGUAGGCGGUGAGUUAAGUCUGCUGUGAAAUCCCCGGGCUCAACCUGGGAAUGGCAAUGGAUACUGGCAAGCUAGAGUGUGUCAGAGGAUGGUGGAAUUCCCGGUGUAGCGGUGAAAUGCGUAGAGAUCGGGAGGAACAUCAGUGGCGAAGGCGGCCAUCUGGGACAACACUGACGCUGAGGCACGAAAGCGUGGGGAGCAAACAGGAUUAGAUACCCCCGUAGUCCCUGUCUCUUAUAC
rnacentral:rRNA from 1 species